rnacentral:sRNA from 1 species
CUUCGAUGCCCUCCUUGGGCGUUUCCUCCCUAGACUCGGGCCACCGCCUCGUCGGUGGCCCCUUUUUUUGUCGCGA